UACCUUUCCUCUGCCAAAUCUACAAACAGAUCUUCAAACCUCAGAUCCUGACAAUAGGUAUAUAAAAGGAAAGGUUUUCAAUAGAAAAGUCAAACUGAAUUCAGUAGUGAAUUGAAUAUAACAUCAUUUUCAUGGUGGUUUUGGAGUAAUGUUGAAUGACACAUUUGAUUGAAUGAUAAAAUAAAGCUGAGUAUCAAUCCAUUACAC